rnacentral:rRNA from 1 species
UACGUAGGAGGCAAGCGUUGUCCGGAAUCACUGGGCGUAAAGCGCGUGUAGGCGGAUCGCUAAGUCUGUGGUGAAAGCGCCUGGCUUAACCGGGCGAGGUCCAUGGAAACUAGCGGUCUGGAGGCCGGUAGAGGGGGGUGGAAUUCCGGGUGUAGUGGUGAAAUGCGUAGAGAUCCGGAGGAACACCAGUGGCGAAGGCGGGUAGCUGGGCCGACACUGACGCUGAGGCGCGAAAGCCAGGGGAGCGAACGGG